rnacentral:rRNA from 1 species
GUCGAGAGGCUUCGGCAAUGGGGGAAACCCUGACCGAGCGACGCCGCGUGGGUGAUGAAGGCCCUUUGGGUCGUAAAGCCCUGUCACGUGGGAAGAAACGCCGGGGGGCGACAAGCUCUCCGGCUUGACGGUACCGCGAGAGGAAGCUCCGGCUAACUCCGUGCCAGCAGCCGCGGUAAUACGGGGGGAGCGAGCGUUGUUCGGAAUUACUGGGCGUAAAGGGCGUGUAGGCGGUCAUGUAAGUCGGGGGUGAAAUGCACCGGCUCAACCGGUUGAAUUGCCUCCGAAACUGCGCGACUCGAGUACGGAAGAGGAAAGCGGAAUUCCCGGUGUAGCGGUGAAAUGCGUAGAUAUCGGGAAGAACAUCGGUGGCGAAGGCGGCUUUCUGGUCCAGUACUGACGCUAAAGCGCGAAAGCCAGGGGAGCGAACGGGAUUAGAUACCCGAGUAGUCC